UACGAAUGGAGCGAGCGUUGUUCGGAAUUACUGGGCGUAAAGGGCUCGUAGGCGGCCAACUAAGUCAGACGUGAAAUCCCUCGGCUUAACCGGGGAACUGCAUCUGAUACUGGAUGGCUUGAGUUCGGGAGAGGGAUGCGGAAUUCCAGGUGUAGCGGUGAAAUGCGUAGAUAUCUGGAGGAACACCGGUGGCGAAGGCGGCAUCCUGGACCGACACUGACGCUGAGGAGCGAAAGCCAGGGGAGCAAACGGG
rnacentral:rRNA from 1 species